GACGAACCGUGCGAACGUUAUUCGGAUUCACUGGGCUUAAAGGGCGCGUAGGCGGACGAGCAAGUCCGGGGUGAAAUCUUUCGGCUUAACCGGAAAAGUGCCUGGGAAACUGCUCGUCUUGAGGGAGGUAGGGGCCUGUGGAACUUCCGGUGGAGCAGUGAAAUGCGUUGAUAUCGGAAGGAACGCCGGUGGCGAAAGCGACGGGCUGGCCCGCCACUGACGCUGAGGCGCGAAAGCCAGGGGAGCGAACGGG
rnacentral:rRNA from 1 species